rnacentral:snRNA from 1 species
GUGCUCGCUUCAGCAGCACAUACACUAAAAUUGGAACAAUACAGAGAAGAUUAGCUUAGCCCCUGCGCAAGGAUGACAUGCAAAUUUGUGAAGCGUUCCAUAUUUUU